GCAGUCGGACAGUUCGUCGCUCACAUCCGCUUGUGAUGCGAGAGGAAAGUCCGGGCAGCAUAGGGCAUUCCGCUGGUUAACGGCCAGUAGUCAGCAAUGGCUAAUGAGUGUAGAAGAAAAUAACCGCCUCUGGAAGAGCGCGCCCUGCUUAACGGUAGGGAUUGUGCCAUGGGAGGUAAGGGUGAGAAGGUGGGGUAAGAGCCCACCAGGCGGCUGGCGACAGUCGUGCUGUGCACAUCGGAAGAUGAAAGUUCGCGUAUACCAUCGUCACAAGGGCGGCCCGCUCGAUGCGCUUCUUCGGAUUCGCUACGAUGGAGGGUAGAACGAUACAGGCGAGGCAGUAAUGUCCGUCGUAGAUAAAUGACGAGCACCUCGGGUGGCAAAGCCACCAUGUUUCACAACCUUUGGCUUUGACACAUUUACCGAGGCACAGAACCCGGCUCAUCGGCCGUCUGCAUCU
rnacentral:RNase_P_RNA from 1 species